rnacentral:tRNA from 1 species
GCGGGCGUAACACAAUGGCAGUGUUUCAGAUUUCCAAUCUGACUAUGUGGGUUCGAUUCCCAUCGCCCGCU